UUCAAUUCUCACAACCUGUCUUUCCAAUCACUGGUAGUAAGUUAACGUUAAGAUGGUGGCCGUCAAAAUGCAGUUUAGCGUGUUUUCUGUUUUGUUGUUGAACGUUCUGUACAAUUUGACAUCCGCGUUAUAUUUUCACAUAGGGGAGACAGAGAAGAAAUGCUUUAUAGAGGAAAUUCCAGACGAAACCAUGAUCAUAGGUAACUAUCGCACGCAGUUGUAUGACAAACAGAAGGAGGAGUACUUGCCUGCCACACAAGGACUUGGGAUGUUUGUAGAAGUGAAAGGUCCAGAUGAAAAGGUGAUUCUGUCUCGUCACUAUGGUUCAGAAGGCCGAUUCACAUUGGCCUCUCACACCCCUGGAGAACACCAGAUUUGCCUGCACUCCAACUCCUCCAAGUUUGCGCUCUUUGCUGGAGGGAUGCUGAGGGUUCACCUGGAUAUCCAGGUUGGUGAGCACACAAAUAAUUACACUGAGAUCGCGGCCAAAGACAAGCUGACCGAGCUGCAGCUCCGGGUGCGACAGCUUGUUGAACAGGUCGACCAGAUUCAGAAGGAGCAGAACUACCAGAGGUACCGUGAAGAACGUUUUAGGCAGACCAGCGAGAGCACCAACCAGAGAGUCCUGUGGUGGUCCAUCGUACAGACACUCAUCCUGGCGGCCAUUGGCUUUUGGCAGAUGAGGCACCUCAAGAGCUUCUUUGAGGUUAUGGUCGAUGUCGAUGACAAGAAUGAAUGGAAGGAAUGCUUUGACGUUAGUGGUGUUCGCCUGCCUACGGGAUACUACUUUGGGGCCUCAUCUGCCACGGGGGAUCUUUCUGUGGUGAGGCAUCAGUCCUAUAAUGCCAAUGACGGAGUUGGAGAGGUAUUUCAGGCGAUCUCCAUGGAUGGACCCAAUGUGAACUGGAAGUUCUUUGAGCUUCUGCAGCGAGAGCACGCUGAGCAGUAUGGUGGUGCACAGCUGGUUGUUGUGGGUAGCUGUGGCCUCCACACCCUACACAACGCAUUCAAAUGUGGCAGCUGGAGAAGGUUUUGAGGGCCAUGCACUUUCUUUUCCACAAUGUACCAGCAAGGAGAGAGGACUUCACUGCUCUCACCAAAUCCUCGGUAUUCCCAUUACCAUUCUGUGGCCACCAGUGGAUUGAGAACCUGCCGGUUGUGGAGAGGGCUAUAGAAGUAUGGCCAUCACUGGUGAAGUAUGUGGAUGCGGUAAGAACCAAGAAGCUUCCAAACCCCGGGACAGGCUCAUUUGACACUAUAGAAACAGCCCAGCAAGAUCAGCUCAUUUUGGCCAAACUGCAGUUCUUCAUGGCUAUCUCGAGGACCUUCAGUCCCUUUUUGACAAAGUACCAGACGGACAAGCCAGUGAUGCCAUUCCUCUGCAAAGACUUGUCUGAGUUGAUCAAGUUUGCUUACGCGUUUUGUCAAGAGGGAGCUUCUCCAGGACAUCACUCCACUGCAGCUGAUCAGACUGGAUGUUGCUGACCAGAAGAACUGGGUCUGCCUGAAGAAAGCUGAUUUAGGCUUGGAUGCUGAGGCAGUCCUUAAGGUGAUGUGAUUACCCAACAGUUUGGGAACUUCCUAUCCAUUGUGGCUAAAAGUGAGCACUUUCUGUUCUUCUGGCCCACAGAAACGAGGCUUGAUGUGUUUCUGCAUGGCUUCCUCAGCCAACCCUACCCUGAGGAGGUAGAGACCGUUAACUUGCAGGAGGACACUGUCAUUGCCCAGAGACUGGUCUGUGAUUAUGUUGCAAUCUGUGUGGGGGUUGUCAAUGUCCCUCUCACCAAGGAGCUGCUGACCUCUGGGGGAUCAGCAAGAUCAAAAUACAGAGAAUACCUUGACCUGGAGAAGAGGAAGAGGCAAACCACUGCUCAAGGCCAGAAGAAAAAAGCUACAGAGGACCACAUAGCUGAGCUUAAAAAGAAGAAAAAAACUCUGCUGGAUGGUAAAUGGUAAAUGGUUGGCAUUUAUAUAGCGCCUUUAUCCAAAGCGCUGUACAAAUGAUGCUUCUCAUUCACCCAUUCAUACACACACUCACACACCGACGGUGAUUGGCUGCCAUGCAAGGCGCAGACCAGCUCGUCAGGAGCAUUUGAGGGUUAGGUGUCUUGCUCAGGGACACUUCGACACAGCCCGGGCGGGGGAUUGAACCGACAACCCUCCGACUGCCAAACGACUGCUCGUACUGCCUGAGCCAUGUCGCCCCCCUCUGCUGGAAGUAUCAGACAGCCUGGAGAAGGAUGCAGACAAGUUUGCUGAGCAAGCAGAGGGCAAGUCCGGCACCUUGAUGGCUCAGCUCAUCACAAAGUCCAACGUCCUCAGGAAGCGAUUUAAAGAAAAAAUAAGCAAGCUGAAACAAGUUGAGGCAGAGUUGGAGAGUAAGGCCAUUGAACUGAGGCUCAUGCCAUGAGUGACGACCAGGAAAUUGGGGGGAGGGCUCUUCUGUGUAUAUGGGGAAGGAAUGGGUGUACAGGGGAAGGAGAGAGACAGGGGAAGUUUACUCUGAGAAAUAAUAUUUUUAUAAUUAGAAAAUAAUUUUGUUCACUAAUGAUUUAUAAAUUAAAUAAAUAUGUUCCAAAUGAAA